GUGAAUCGUGAGUUUCCCUUAGACACACUUUCCUUCCUCUAACAGAUAAUUCAAGAAUUAAUUUGGAUAUUUAGCUAAGUUGAAACCAAAUUUAUAUCCUACUUUGGAAUAAUAAAACCGUGGUUUAUCUUUUACCUAUUGCAUUUUUUUUCACAACUUUGAAUGAUCAUAUUUAGAUAAUUUCCUCAGCAAUUUGGCCAUUCUUCCUCCACAAUUCUUUUGCAAAAUGUAUUCUAUGUCAGUAGAAACCAUUUCUUCCACAUGGUCAUUUCACUUAAACUCGAGCUACUACAUAAAGUACAUGAUAAUUUCUUCACUUUGCAGAGAAACAAUGUAAGCACAAUCAUAAAUGCUGUUAAUAGUGUGUUGGUUGGUCAUAACAGAGCUGUAAUCUAUGUCAAAUUCUUGGAUUCAAACACUUGUUUCGUUUUUUUUUUUUGUUAAAACAAAGGUAACUCCUGCACACUACUACGGAGACUAAUCCCUUGUAUUUUCGUUUACUCAAUUUAGUUGCUGAUAUCUUCCACCUCUUGCUUUAACAGAAUUUUGUGUGUUUAUCAUCUGUGCCAAUCGAUACCCAAGUAAUUUGAACCAACGUAACUUUAUUUUGUUGUCCUGUGAAAAAUAUUCUUUGUAAAGUUAUUAAACUUUUUUUUUUUAAUGCUUUGGUAUUUGCAUGCAAUGAAUAGUGAAUAAUUAUGAUGCUUACUUAGCUGCUUGUUGUUUUAGUUACCCAAAACAUUAAACUACUUAGGCAACGUCUAAAAGAAAAGCAUCUUGAAAGUUUCAAUUGUAAUAAUCCCCAAUAUUGUUGUAUAAUUGAGGUAUCAUUACAGCUUGACCAUGUACAUAUGUUUUCUUUUGUUGCCCCUAUAAAUGGCAUCCAAUUGUAAUGAUAGUGCACAAGGAUUUACUGGAAUUUGGAUGAUGACUUG
rnacentral:lncRNA from 1 species